rnacentral:rRNA from 1 species
GAUGAACGCUGACAGAAUGCUUAACACAUGCAAGUCCACUUGAAUUUGGGUUUUUAACUUAGGUUUGGGUGGCGGACGGGUGAGUAACGCGUAAAGAACUUGCCUCACAGCUAGGGACAACAUUUGGAAACGAAUGCUAAUACCUAAUAUUAUGAUAAUAGGGCAUCCUAUAAUUAUGAAAGCUAUAAGCGCUGUGAGAGAGCUUUGCGUCCCAUUAGCUAGUUGGAGAGGUAACGGCUCGCCAAGGCGAUGAUGGGUAGCCGGCCUGAGAGGGUGAUCGGCCACAAGGGGACUGAGACACGGCCCUUACUCCUACGGGAGGCAGCAGUGGGGAAUAUUGGACAAUGGACCAAGAGUCUGAUCCAGCAAUUCUGUGUGCACGAUGAAGUUUUUCGGAAUGUAAAGUGCUUUCAGUUGGGAAGAAAGAAAUGACGGUACCAACAGAAGAAGAGACGGCUAAAUACGUG